ACAUACUAAGAACUUUCCAGAGAUGGAUUGGUGCCUUCGGGAACUUAGAUACAGGUGCUGCAUGGCUGUCGUCAGCUCGUGUCGUGAGAUGUUGGGUUAAGUCCGCAACGAGCGCAACCCUUUUCCUUAUUUGCCAGCGGGUAAUGCCGGGAACUUUAAGGAUACUGCCAGUGACAAACUGGAGGAAGGCGGGGACGACGUCAAGUCAUCAUGGCCCUUACGGCCAGGGCUACACACGUGCUACAAUGGUCGGUACAAAGGGUUGCUACCUCGCGAGAGGAUGCUAAUCUCAAAAAGCCGAUCGUAGUCCGGAUCGCAGUCUGCAACUCGACUGCGUGAAGUCGGAAUCGCUAGUAAUCGCGGAUCAGAAUGCCGCGGUGAAUACGUUCCCGGGCCUUGUACACACCGCCCGUCACACCAUGGGAGUUUGUUGCACCAGAAGUAGGUAGUCCAACCGCAAGGAGGACGCUUACCACGGUGUGGCCGAUGACUGGGGUGAAGUCGUAACAAGGUAGGCGUAGAUGA
rnacentral:rRNA from 1 species